CUUGAGCCGGGAGAGUCUCUUCGAACGCUCCUCCUCAGCCAAAAACUCCUCCUUAAGAGACUUCCUUUCUUGAUCAGUCGAAACCUUUGAAGCCAAAAUCUUGGCAUUAUUUUUUACACCCAAUUGACUCAAUUUCUCAGUACCAUAACCAUCUCUCAAAACUCUGCCUGCAGAUAUCAGGUUUAUGCACUGUGGCCCAAC
rnacentral:lncRNA from 1 species